UACGAAGGGGGCUAGCGUUGCUCGGAUUGACUGGGCGUAAAGGGCGCGUAGGCGGUUCGUACAGUCAGACGUGAAAUUCCCGGGCUCAACCUGGGGGCUGCGUUUGAUACGUGCGGACUUGAGUGCGGAAGAGGGUCGUGGAAUUCCCAGUGUAGAGGUGAAAUUCGUAGAUAUUGGGAAGAACACCGGUGGCGAAGGCGGCGACCUGGUCCGAUACUGACGCUGAGGCGCGAAAGCGUGGGGAGCAAACAGG
rnacentral:rRNA from 1 species